rnacentral:rRNA from 1 species
CAAUAGCGUAUAUUUAAGUUGUUGCAGUUAAAAAGCUCGUAGUUGGAUUUCGGAUGGGAUUUGCCGGUCCGUCGUUACGAUGUGCACUGGCCAGUCCUAUCUUGUUGUCGGGGACUAGCUCCUUGGAUUCACUUCCUGGGACUAGGAGCUGACGAGGUUACUUUGAGUAAAUUAGAGUGUUCAAAGCAAGCCUACGCUCUGAAUACAUUAGCAUGGAAUAACACGAUAGGACUCUGGCUUAUCUUGUUGGUCUGUGAGACCAGAGUAAUGAUUAAGAGGGACAGUCGGGGACAUUCGUAUUUCAUUGUCAGAGGUGAAAUUCUUGGAUUUAUGAAAGACGAACUUCUGCGAAAGCAUUUGUCAAGGAUGUUUUCAUUG